rnacentral:misc_RNA from 1 species
UCACCUUCAAGCACAGCUUGGUGUUGGGCGUCUGUCCUCGCGGACUCGCCUCGAAACUAUUGGCAGCCACUCCAGCGGCUUUGAGCGCAGCAGAAUUGCGUCUCUCGCGGCGAGGGGGGGCAUCCAUAAGCUUACCUUUUA